rnacentral:lncRNA from 1 species
GGCGCAGACACAAAGGCAAACAAUCCCAAACACAGGCUUUGCCCUCCUUGUACGUUGAGACAAAGGAAGCAGAAAUGAGCCUGGGAUCACAGUCUGCGCUGAGCAGCAUGGAGCAAACAGGGCGUCCCCUUCUCAGUGACAGAGGGACUUGGGCUGACCAACCGUCUUGGCUUCCCUGGGACUGUCCCAGCUCAGCACUGAAAAUCUCAUGCCGAUGAAAACCCCCGCAGGCCUGGGCAGAUGGGAACCUUGGUCACUCUUGCAGAAACUUGAGUCAGAAAUAAAGCAACUUCUCCCAGGCCAUGUGGAAAAGCCAUGUGUGAACCAGAGGAACAAGUACAACAGAGCCGCUGAGUACACCCCAACACAGAGGAGCCAGCGCUCACCGAGAGAUUUGCCAAGUGGAGUCCUUUUGAGACAUCCAAAUUUCACUGUCUUCAACUUAUUAAUGUGAAACAAAGAAUAACGUAUAUGUGUGUGUAAACACGAAUAGUAACAGCUUAUAUUUGUAAACAAUGUGCCGUGCGCCCAGCACUACAUUAAGCAGUCUCCAUGCAGCACCUCCAUUAAUCCUGGGGAGCACUGUACCCACUUCAAGAGGCCUUUAGAAGAGCAAGUAACAAAAACUGGUGGAAAAAAAGCACACAUUCAACAGGAAGCAACAUCUAGAGACCUUUCUGCCUUCCAGGAUACAAAAAGAAAACAGUUCAUAAACAACUUACAUCUAAACCAGUAAUGUUGUCUCCCUGGCUCAUAGGAGCUGAAGAAGAAUUCCAGUUACUGUAGUAAGAAUAUAAGGAUGUGGACUGGUUUGAGGAUGCUUGAGGCAUGACUAUAGCAAGUACUGCGCAUACAUAUGUGGACAUCGAAUUCCAUGAUCUACACACAGAUGACACCAAAAUCGGAACAGCAAUGUCCACCCUUCUCCCGAGCCCUAGGUCGGUGCCUCUGUCCACCUGUGUCUCCUGAAACUUCAACACAGACUUCAAAUGGAGUGGCAGAAAACCAGAUUCCUUAGGGAAAGGAAGGUCUCCCAGACGGCAGGAGCGGCAGGCCUUAGGGGCAGCCGCAGGGGCUCGGGAGUCUGAACAUACCCGGUUUGAAUUCAGACUCUGGCACGCCCCAUGCGAUCAUAACAUAGUGCUGCACGUCUCAAGCCACCUAUAAAAACGGGGACAAUAACAAUAUCUGCCUCGGGGUUAAUGGUGAGGACUGACUGUGUGUGUCUCGCUCAGGACCAGGAGCAACAAAUGUUGGCUUCUUCCCCGGCAAAGACCCGCGCUUUCUCCUGGGCUCCGGGUUCCCGGGGUGGGGGUGGGCGCAGUCCCGAGGGCCCCAGGCAGUGGCGCAGUGGUUAGACCCCAGCCUCUGGAGUCGGCCUCGGUUCAGAUUCUGGUUCUACCCUUCUCCUCUGUGGCGAACCAACCCUCCGAGCUCUAGUUUACUCGUGUGAAAUGGACUAGCCAAAAUUGGGAUUUUUUUUUUUUUUUAGGAUUAGAUGUGUCGGUCCAUAGACGUUGCUGGCCACAUAGUUAAGUGGUGCGUUCACUCACUGGGCAUUGAUGGAGCGCCUACUACGUGCCAGGCCUGUUUUACGCGCCGGGGGCCCAGAGGCGCCCAGGUCAGACAAAGUGUAAACGAUUCCGACCAGAGCCCUUCAAUCUGCAUUCCGCUUCGCAGGAAACUCUCCUCCUUUUAUGAUUUUCAGCCGGACUGCCUUCCCUGUUGUUAGUUUGUAACUUUCGCUCCGGCCCCCGCAGCCUCGCGCCUGCCUUCCCUCCACUGUCCUCAGCCAAGGUGUAGUAAAGCGUCUCCGAACGCGGCGCGACCCUCGCCCACGCCCGCUCGCG